AUACGGAAGGUCCGGGCGUUAUCCGGAUUUAUUGGGUUUAAAGGGAGCGCAGGCGGAGAUGCAAGCGUGACGUCAAAUUUCGGGGCUCAACCCCGUCUCGCGUCGCGAACUGCGUCCCUUGGUUGCGGGAAGGGGAGGCGGAACUCGUGGUGUAGCGGUGAAAUGCAUAGAUAUCACGAAGAACUCCGAUCGCGAAGGCAGCCUUCCGGCCCGUCAACGACGCUCAUGCUCGAAGGUGCGGGUAUCAAACAGGAUUAGAUACCCUGGUAGUCCGCACAGUAAACGAUGGACACCCGCGGUUUGGCCUGUAUGGCUAAGCCGCCAAGCGAAAGCGUUAAGUGUCCCACCUGGGGAGUACGCCGGCAACAGUGAAACUCAAAGGAAUUGACGGGG
rnacentral:rRNA from 1 species